GGAAGUAAAACGUAACAAGGUCUCCGUUGGUGAACCAGCGGAGGGAUCAUUACCGAGUUUUUCUACUCCCUAACCCCUGUGAACUUAUACCUUUACUGUUGCUUCGGCGGGUUAACGCCCCGGAAGGCCCAAAAAGCCGCCGGAACCAGGCGCCCGCCGGGGGACCCAAACUCUUGUAUUUCUUACUUUGCAUGUCUGAGUGGAAUCAUAAACAAAUGAAUCAAAACUUUCAACAACGGAUCUCUUGGUUCUG
rnacentral:misc_RNA from 1 species